rnacentral:rRNA from 1 species
GCUUUAGUGCCUUCGGGAACUCUGAGACAGGUGCUGCAUGGCUGUCGUCAGCUCGUGUUGUGAAAUGUUGGGUUAAGUCCCGCAACGAGCGCAACCCUUAUCCUUUGUUGCCAGCGGUUCGGCCGGGAACUCAAAGGAGACUGCCAGUGAUAAACUGGAGGAAGGUGGGGAUGACGUCAAGUCAUCAUGGCCCUUACGAGUAGGGCUACACACGUGCUACAAUGGCAUAUACAAAGAGAAGCGACCUCGCGAGAGCAAGCGGACCUCACAAAGUAUGUCGUAGUCCGGAUCGGAGUCUGCAACUCGACUCCGUGAAGUCGGAAUCGCUAGUAAUCGUAGAUCAGAAUGCUACGGUGAAUACGUUCCCGGGCCUUGUACACACCG